rnacentral:rRNA from 1 species
ACGAACGCUGGCGGCGUGCCUAACACAUGCAAGUCGAGCGGAGACAGUGAGUAGCUUGCUAUGAGCUGUUUUAGCGGCGGACGGGUGAGUAACGCGUGAGCAACCUUUCCCAGACAGGGGAAUAACACACCGAAAGGUGUACUAAUACCGCAUAAGACCACGGAAUCACAUGGUUCUGAGGUAAAAGAUUUAUCGGUUUGGGGUGGGCUCGCGUCCGAUUAGGUAGUUGGUGAGGUAACGGCCCACCAAGCCGACGAUCGGUAGCCGACCUGAGAGGGUGAUCGGCCACAUUGGGACUGAGACACGGCCCAAACUCCUACGGGAGGCAGCAGUGGGGAAUAUUGGGCAAUGGAGGAAACUCUGACCCAGCAACGCCGCGUGGAGGAAGAAGGUUUUCGGAUCGUAAACUCCUGUCCUUGGAGACGAGUAGAAGACGGUAUCCAAGGAGGAAGCCCCGGCUAACUACGUGCCAGCAGCCGCGGUAAUACGUAGGGGGCAAGCGUUGUCCGGAAUAAUUGGGCGUAAAGGGCGCGUAGGCGGCUCGGUAAGUCUGGAGUGAAAGUCCUGCUUUUAAGGUGGGAAUUGCUUUGGAUACUGUCGGGCUUGAGUGCAGGAGAGGUUAGUGGAAUUCCCAGUGUAGCGGUGAAAUGCGUAGAGAUUGGGAGGAACACCAGUGGCGAAGGCGACUAACUGGACUGUAACUGACGCUGAGGCGCGAAAGUGUGGGGAGCAAACAGGAUUAGAUACCCUGGUAGUCCACACGGUAACCGAUGCAUCCUAGGUCUAGGGGCUCUCGACCCCUUCUGGGCCGCAGUCAACACAAUAAGCAUUCCGCCUGGGGAGUACGGCCGCAAGGUUGAAACUCAAAGGAAUUGACGGGGGCCCGCACAAGCAGCGGAGCAUGUGGUUUAAUUCGACGCAACGCGAAGAACCUUACCAGGUCUUGACAUCCACUUAAACUUACAGAGAUGUAAGGUGUGCUUGCACAAAGUGAGACAGGUGGUGCAUGGUUGUCGUCAGCUCGUGUCGUGAGAUGUUGGGUUAAGUCCCGCAACGAGCGCAACCCUUAUCUUUAGUAGCCAGCGGUUCGGCCGGGCACUCUAGAGAGACUGCCAGGGAUAACCUGGAGGAAGGUGGGGAUGACGUCAAAUCAUCAUGCCCCUUAUGACCUGGGCUACACACGUGCUACAAUGGCCACGACAGAGAGAAGCGAAAUCGUAAGGUAGAGCGGAACUCAAAAAAGUGGUCCCAGUUCGGAUUGUGGGCUGCAACCCGCCCACAUGAAGUCGGAGUUGCUAGUAAUCGCGGAUCAGCAUGCCGCGGUGAAUACGUUCCCGGGCCUUGUACACACCGCCCGUCACACCAUGGGAGUUGGGAGUGCCCAAAGCCGGUGAGGCAACCGCAAGGAGCCAGCCGUCUAAGGCAAGACCAAUGACUGGGGUG